GACUUAAAACUCCAUCUUGGCCAAGGUUUUCGGACAUCAUCAAGAAUAAAAACCCGGGGACGUUUAAAGGGAGUACGCCCCCACCCCGCAACCGAUAGUGGUGCCACUUUGCGACUACUGAAUUGACUACAUAAAGUGUAUCCUAAUUAUAUCCAACCCAAUAUGGUGGACCGAGGCUGGAUUAUUGGAUGGCUGUCGUUGUUAACCAGCAUUUUGCUGGUGAACUCGGACGAAAGUCAAGUCACAGACAAAGUCAUCGUUGGUGCUCGAAUUGAGAGUUGCAGUGGAUGACGUUUGAACUCUCUUCCAGAAGUGAAGAGGUUCAUUACAGAAGAGUUCUCGUAUUAUGAGAAUGCUGUAUUCAUCAACAAAGCUGGGGAACCUCCAUUUCUUAUUCUUUUAAACAAGUCUGGUCAGCAAGUGGAGCGUCAAGCCUUGGCUGAAAUGCAGGGAGAAGAAAUCCAUGCUCUGCUCCAAUCCCAUGGGCUUGUGCGACGUGACCUCGACAAGCGCCCCAAGCUGCCCGGCUGGGACAAUAUGUUCAUGGAUGAAGACGAUUUCGUCGACCCUUCUGGAGGCGAACCUGAAGACUAUGAUGGCGAUGAAAUUCCAGAAGUACCAGACCAUGAGGAGUUAUAAGCUUUAGACUUUUGAAAUUAAAUUGAUCUACCAUUGUGCAUUUAAGGACAAACUCUGAAACGUAUAUUUUAACCAUAUGAGAUUGUAAUAUCCUAAGAAGUGCCGUACGAUGGUUGAUCUGUGCGAUAGAUAUUACAUGUACCUUGAUUUACAUUAUCAAGGAUGGCAUAGUUUUAUAGCAAGAAUUCCACCUCAAAACGUGCAUUUCUUACAGAGUUGCAGUGCUGCAUGUAGCAUGUUACGAUCUCAUAUGGUGUCAAUAAACCUUUGCGUUGGUUACACCUCGAUGACCAAACAGCAGAAAUCCUUUUCAAUGAUAGAUCAGUCUUCACGAGUAUUUCCUAUUUUCUACAAUCCAACAGUGGACUGUGCCUUGACAGUAUUCUUUCUUUUUCUCUGGACAUGGCCGUAUGACGGUGACAUCCGAAAUUUUAAGGGUGCUGCUUGAUGUUUUGCCUGGGACCAGUUUGAAAGAAUGAAUCGUGUAGGGUUUCAGCCUCUCCUUGGAUUUUAUUUGGAAUACCUUUCUCACCAGGUGCCAGUUUGUUAUAAGAUUAGACUAGCAGAGCUGUCGACACUAGAACAAAUGAUUUCCACUGAUGCCGAAUGCUGUUAGACUGUAAUGCUUUUAAGUUCUUCACAGGGUAUUAUUUGUGUUCCGAUUUCGUCAACAUUUUAAUGUUUGUAAACCAUUGUAUUCAUACACGAAGAGAGAGAGUGUGUCUCCUAACAAUCGGUGUAGACCCCUAGUGUACCAUGAUUUCCAGUGUUUGCAGCCAACUCUGCUAUAGUGUGAUGUAAUCGCAGUAGUAUUAUACAGUGUUACAGAAUGACUAUCUUGUUUUGCUUUGAAGAAUAACGACAGCAUUUCUUUUAAAGAAGUUGUGU